AAAAGGGGAAGAUGAGAGGAGGGGCAGUGGUCACCUCCCCCCAUUAACUUCUUUGCGGUUGGUUGUUGGCAAGGAGAAAGAGGACCAGGGUGCGACUAGGAUUUCUCAAUUCUUAUAAAAGUUAAUAAUAUAAAUUAACGAGAACCAAAUCGAUCCUUAAUAAAGUCAAUUACAUUUACGUUCUUAUAUUCAUCGCCCACUUAAUUGUCUUUUACAAACAAAAAAUGUGAAAAUAGUUCAAAAACUAUAAAUAAAUAAAAUAAAAUAAAAUAAACAGCAACCAGGAACCAAAACAGUCAACAACUAGCAACCAGCACUUCAAAAAUCAUCUAAAAACUGUCCUCUUUGCAUUUUUAGUUGCAAAAUCAUUAAUCAAACAAGUACAAUCAAGUUCUUCCAAAAAAUAUCACUUUGAACAGAUAUCAAAGUUAAACCAUUUAAUCUUUCUUGUGACAUGGCUGAUCGCAAGUAAGAUUUCAAUAACUUCAAUUUGGAAAAACUUCUUUCAGCUGAAGCAACUAUAACAUGUAAAGUCAAUAAUAUUCUAUAAGCAAUGAUUGUAUUUGGAAAACAACUUAGUCUUUUUAAAGCACUCAAAAUGUUAGUGGAUGUCUCUGCUAUAAAGGAGUUAUUAUAGCUUUUACUAAACAUGCCCACUCAUCGUCCACCAAACAUAUACUAUCAUAUCUCCAGACAAAGCUAAUUGCUCACCACUAAUACACCUCCACCGAAACCCAAUUUAUAUCUCAACUAGACAACUAGAUAUUGUAUAUUAGUGUGGCUCAUUAUUACCUCUUAUUAUUUUUUCACUAAACUUGUAUAUAUAUAUAUAUAUAUUGUACUACACACUGCAUAAGAAAUAUGAAUUAAUAUAAAAAUAUUUUGUAGCUUUAGACUCUUCAUUUGCCUCUUUUGGUAAAAUCUCUCGUAUGACUUUUAAUAGGCCUUUUAUUUCUUUUAUAAGAGCAUGUCC
rnacentral:lncRNA from 1 species